rnacentral:rRNA from 1 species
GACGAACCGAGCGAACGUUGUUCGGAAUCACUGGGCUUAAAGGGCGCGUAGGCGGGUGCUCAAGUCUGUGGUGAAAUCCUCCGGCUCAACCGGAGAACGGCCAUGGAUACUGGGUGCCUCGAGGGUGAUAGGGGUAUGCGGAACUAUCGGUGGAGCGGUGAAAUGCGUUGAUAUCGAUAGGAACUCCGGUGGCGAAGGCGGCAUACUGGUCCACUUCUGACGCUGAGGCGCGAAAGCCAGGGGAGCAAACGGG